GACGAACGCUGGCGGCGUGCCUAAUACAUGCAAGUCGAACGAAGUGGCGAACGGGUGAGUCAUACGUGGGUAACCUGCCAUCCUUUUUGGGAUAAGCCUUAGAAACGGGGUCUAAUACCGAAUAAAGGGGGAUGGGCUGGCGGGCUAUCAGCUGGUUGGUGGGGUGAUGGCCUACCAAGGGGGUUACGGGUAGCCGGACUGAGAGGGCGACCAGCCACAUUGGGACUGAGACACGGUCCAGACUCCUACGGGAGGCAGCAGUGGGGAAUUUUUCACAAUGGGGGAAACCCUGAUGCAGCGACGCCGUGUGAUUUAGAAGGCCUUCGGGUUGUAAAAAUCUUUCAGUACCAUAAGAAGAAGGUCCGGCUAAAUACGUGCCAGCAGCCGCGGUAAUAC
rnacentral:rRNA from 1 species